CAAGGUUCUUAAAGUUGAAAUCAGACCAAAAU
rnacentral:sRNA from 1 species